rnacentral:lncRNA from 1 species
UUUGCUCCCAAUAUAAAGAGUAAGUUAGUAAUACGCUAACACGCACAUUAAUACACAUACAUAUAUCUCCACCACCAUGGCCGGCGGUGACUCCACGCCACCGUCCUACCACCCAACCUCAAAACCUUCCAAACACACCACCACCACCACCUGCAAGAAGACCAACCUCUACACCCUCGUAGCACUCCUCUGCAUCAUCUCCUACCUCUUCNNNNN